rnacentral:rRNA from 1 species
AGAGUUUGAUCCUGGCUCAGGACGAACGCUGGCGGCGUGCCUAAUACAUGCAAGUCGAGCGGACCGGGCGGGAGCUUGCUUCCGCCUGGUUAGCGGCGGACGGGUGAGUAACACGUGGGUAACCUGCCCGUAAGACCGGGAUAACUCCGGGAAACCGGGGCUAAUACCGGAUAACACCGAAGACCGCAUGGUCUUCGGUUGAAAGGCGGCUUCGGCUGCCACUUACGGAUGGGCCCGCGGCGCAUUAGCUAGUUGGUGAGGUAACGGCUCACCAAGGCAACGAUGCGUAGCCGGCCUGAGAGGGUGACCGGCCACACUGGGACUGAGACACGGCCCAGACUCCUACGGGAGGCAGCAGUAGGGAAUCUUCCGCAAUGGACGAAAGUCUGACGGAGCGACG